rnacentral:rRNA from 1 species
GCAGUCGAACGGCAGCACGGGCUUCGGUCUGGUGGCGAGUGGCGAACGGGUGAGUAAUAUAUCGGAACGUACCCAAGAGUGGGGGAUAACGUAGCGAAAGUUACGCUAAUACCGCAUACGAUCUACGGAUGAAAGCAGGGGACCGCAAGGCCUUGUGCUCCUGGAGCGGCCGAUAUCUGAUUAGCUAGUUGGUGAGGUAAAGGCUCACCAAGGCGACGAUCAGUAGCUGGUCUGAGAGGACGACCAGCCACACUGGAACUGAGACACGGUCCAGACUCCUACGGGAGGCAGCAGUGGGGAAUUUUGGACAAUGGGCGCAAGCCUGAUCCAGCAAUGCCGCGUGAGUGAAGAAGGCCUUCGGGUUGUAAAGCUCUUUUGUCAGGGAAGAAACGGCAGGCGCUAAUAUCGCUUGCUAAUGACGGUACCUGAAGAAUAAGCACCGGCUAACUACGUGCCAGCAGCCGCGGUAAUACGUAGGGUGCAAGCGUUAAUCGGAAUUACUGGGCGUAAAGCGUGCGCAGGCGGUUUUGUAAGUCUGUCGUGAAAGCCCCGGGCUC